GUCCGCUACCUCAGUCGGUAGAGCGGUGGAACGGUGAUCCACAGUCCCGGGUUCAAGUCCCGGCAGUCG